GACGAACGCUGGCGGCGUGCUUAACACAUGCAAGUCGAGCGGAAAGGCCACUUCGGUGGUCCUCGAGCGGCGAACGGGUGAGUAACACGUGAGUAAUCUGCCCCUGGCUUUGGGAUAGCCACCGGAAACGGUGAUUAAUACCGGAUAUGACACAUUCUCGCAUGAGUUUGUGUGGAAAGUUUUUCGGCCAGGGAUGUGCUCGCGGCCUAUCAGCUUGAUGGUGAGGUAAUGGCUCACCAUGGCUUCGACGGGUAGCCGGCCUGAGAGGGUGACCGGUCACACUGGGACUGAGACACGGCCCAGACUCCUACGGGAGGCAGCAGUGGGGAAUAUUGGACAAUGGGCGGAAGCCUGAUCCAGCAACGCCGCGUGAGGGAUGACGGCCUUCGGGUUGUAAACCUCUUUCAGUACCGACGAAGCGCAAGUGACGGUAGGUACAGAAGAAGCACCGGCCAACUACGUG
rnacentral:rRNA from 1 species